rnacentral:lncRNA from 1 species
GAACUUAACCGCUGCACCACCGGGCCGGCCCCUAAAAAUCUCCUGCUUAACCCUGGAAUACGACAUUUGGGUGAGAAUGGCCUGGCAUCUGGUGUCGCCUGACCAGCCUCAGCUGAAGCCGACUCUAGUUGUCACAAAGUCAAGAAUCUGUGCAAGUCUCAGGCAAUUCUUCUGCUCCAUGUGCAUUAACUCAGCAGUGUUUAUCUGGUGGCGGGGCUGGUCCGGAGGGUCCAGAUAGCUUCCUGCUUCACACGUCUAGGGCCUUGUGGAGAUGACUGGAAGGCCGGGCUCAGCUGGAAUUACAGACCACGAGGAGGUGAAUCACCGGAAGAAAACUCCCGAUGUGCAAAUGCGUGCAGCGUGAAAGUCAGAGCAAGUACUGCAGAUAACAAGGUGCUUUGGAGCAUCAAAUGAAAGAGAGCUUGCAUCCGUCUGGGAGAGUCUGAAGGCCUUCAUCUGGACUUUAAAGGGUAUGAAAGAGUUCCCAGGCCAAGUUGGGAUGGAAGGCAUCUUAGAGGAAAUAAAAAAGCAGUAGCAAAGGCACCAAUGUGGGGAAAUACGGGACCUGUUUGGAGAUGAAGGAGUAAAUAAAUUUGGAAUGAGGUAUAGUCACUAGUGAGAA